GGUAUUGUAAAGCGCUUUGAGGGUAACGAAAAGCACUAUAUAAAUGCAAUCCAUUAUUAUUAUUAUUAUAGAUUAGCCUUGACCGUCUUAGCAAUUUUUUUUACAUGCUUGUCCAAUUUAAGACGUAAAUCAACAAUUAUUCCUAAAAACUUAAAAUCUUUGACCUCUUUUAUUUCUUCGUUCCUUCACUGGAUUUUAAACUCAUCAUUUAUCUGAUCAUCAGGAACAACCUAAGAAUCUGUUAGUCUCACUCAUUUAAACCCUCUGCUGCAUUCUGUUCACCCCUGCUAUCAUUCAAUCAUCUUUCCUAAUAUAAUAUUAGUCCACUAGUUCAUAUAUCGUUUCUCAUCUUACUAAGUGAGCCGAACAAGAUGAUAAAAUCAGAAACACAGGCUUAAAAUACCAUCUGGUAUUCAUGAGCUUCAUUGCAUAUGUGUGUAUGUGUUAGUAGGAUUAAAACAUUCUGUGCUUAUGUAUGUUGUUUUAAUUACAUUACCCCUUUUUCUGAAACAAAUCUCUGUUUACUACACCUUCUUGUUUCAGAAACAUCUAAAGAAGAAAGUCUCUAUUGUAGUCAGGCACAGCUAAAUUCUGCUUGUGAGUUAACCUAGCUAACCACACUGUGUGUUGUUAACACCUUCAACAUGUACCCCCUGGUGAUGUGUGCCACUUCCUCUAUGUCCUCUAUUUGUACCACCAUAUGGAGAACCACAAUAGCCACACACAUCGAAAUACAGAAUUCUUAGAUGCUUAGAUAAUGAAUUGUAGAAUAAAUUCUCCAUUUGUAAAAUAAUUUUAGAAUUCCACAUUAACAAAGUGAGUUUCGAAAUGUUUUUUAAAAACCUCAUUACCAUCCUAGGGGAGCUAAGAUGGUAAUGAGGUGCUUGAAAUGUUGUAGGUGGCUGAGUUUAUACUGCUACCAUUGAAACUGAUUGGGACUCCGUCUUUGUGGAUCUAUGGAAGUCCAUAUAUACAGGGUGUAGCAUCCCCUGGGUAAAGGCGGUGAAAUGCAGGGGGGUCAGUGAUUUUUUCCCUUUCAAGUUCUUGUAGGCAACUGAUGACUUUGUUUUUGUAGUUGCUUCUGUCGUUUCACCUUGAAGCUUCAUAGGUAUUGUUGUCACUGAGGAGUUUAGUCAUGUUUAUUUGAUCUGCUUCUUUUUGUCAGGGAUAAAAUACACAUGUAUACUUUUUGUGUCCCAGCUGAGUAACAGGAGGAGAAGAGUGGUGGUGCAGCAGAGGAACAAUUUCAGCCAUUUGGACUCAGCUCAGCCACUACAGAGGAAACAAUGACUUCAACACAAAAGGACCAACAUGGAGCGAGAAGUCAGCGCUCUCAGGAGGCCGACAAACCUCACAGAAGAAAGGGAGAGAAAACAUACACCUGUGACGAGUGUGGGAAGGGUUUUACUGGGAAGGGUUUACUAAAACAACAUCAGGUCAUCCACACUGGAGAGCGACCGUUCAGCUGUGACUUGUGUGGAAACUCUUUUAACCGGGCUGAAACCUUAAAAAGACACCAAGUAAUGCACAGUGGAGUUAAAGCGUUCAGUUGUGACUUGUGUGGAAAGUCUUUUACUCUGGCUCAAAGCCUGAAAACACACCAAGUCAUCCACAGUGGAGUUAAAGCA